CCUUCAUGAAGCCGGAAUUGCUAGUAAUGGCAGGUCAGCAUACUGCCGUGAAUACGUUCCCGGGCCUUGUACACACCGCCCGUCACACCAUGAGAGUUGGGGAUACCCGAAGCCUGUGAGCUAACUUUAUAAGGAGCAGCAGUCGAAGGUAGAAUCAAUGAUUGGGGUGAAGUCGUAACAAGGUAUC
rnacentral:rRNA from 1 species